rnacentral:tRNA from 1 species
GGAGAAAUGGCAGAGUGGUUAAUGGCGACAAUUUCAAAAGUUAUAAGUCAACGAGGGUUCGAAUCCCUCUCUCCACCA